AAGUUUCUGCAAUGUACUGUUUGUCUACGAUAGGUACUCUGUCCGCCACAAAAUCUGCGGCAGUCUGGUGCUAUGGAAACAAGAAGAGAGCAUUUUAGGGAGGGUGGCUUCGAUGAUAGCUUGUAUGGGGAGUAUACCAGAUUGGCUGACUCAGCCACCAGUAGGAGACUUAUUUAAUCUGAUUCAAGAAUUUUUUUAAGAUUCGCAUGAAUAGUUCUUUUUUACUUAAAAUAAUUCUCUCGAUUCAAUCAGUUGUUAUUUUUUAAAUACAAAGGAAAAAAAGUGAACAAAUUCUGACAUUAAGGGUAGU